CUUGAUUCGUCAUCCACAGCUGUCCAAUUGUUCGGCCUCCAACGAUAAUCCACACAGAGAACAAGAUUGCAGCUACCAGGGUUUUUUCUCUUGUGCCAGCAAGAAUAAUGAAAACCAUAUGAACCUCAAACCUUAGUCAUGUAUUUAUAUAAACUCAAACGGGCUCGAUCCGGUCCGGUCCAAUAUUUAAUUAAUCCAAUUAAUUAAACCCGGUCCGUAAAUUAAUUAAUCCAAUUAAUUAAUUUAUCCAACGAUUGUUAAAUUGACCAAUUAGCAAUUUGCAAUCUUCAAAUUCUCUUUUGUGUGCGACCCAUUAGGUUCCCGACCACGAUGCCUAACGACGUGAAAUAUUAUUUUGAUCUAAUCAAAAUUGAUAAAUUAAAACACCAUUUUAAUUUAUCGUCAAUUCACACUCGCUAUCCCUGAUUGACAUCUAACAAUGUGUCAGGGCAAUACAUGUGGCAGGAAAUGUCACGUGGUAUGACAAAACCAAACUCGUUCGUGUACCGUGAAACUAUAAUCCCUUCGUCAAUAUGAUCCGAUCAAUUACGAGAUACGGAAGUGUAUCAAUCUCGAUUAUCGAUCAUAUCUUUCACUAUACUAUUAAGUCAAUAUAAGUCGAAAACUCCUUUUCGACUUAUGAGUACACCUUGACCAAGGAUUUCAUCAUCGACUUAAUUGAAUGAAACGCGGAUCAUAAUCUCCUACUAUCUAAGAGUGACGAAUCCUUUAUUGAUCAAUCACAACCUUCAUACGAUUCUUGACGUACCCGAACGAUAUCGUAUUAGCGGCCAUUUGCAGAGCAACAUCCAACACCGCCAAAGUAUGACUGUCCUCAUAUAAGGUACCAUGACGACCUUAAGUCAAAGGAUCAAUUCCACUACCGAACGUUAGAGAUUAACCACUGACACUUAAAUAGUCAUCCAUGUGGAAUCUCUCUGCGGGUCUCCAAUGUUUUGUUCUAUAACAAAACAUCCACGUGUUCAUUUAAGUGUCACCACACUUUAGUUUGCGAGAUCAGCUACUUACUUCACAAAUAAGAAAUGCAACACGUGAUGGUCUAUCCGUAAUAACGAUAUCCGUAGCUCGUUAUCACUGACGACCACGGACGAUUUAAGAUUCAAUCGGAUGUAAUUUGUAUCUCACAAUCACAACUCUUUGUGAUUGACAAAUUACGAAAAUUUGAAUCUACAGAUUCUAUUAUUUAUUUAAUCGUCUAUUAAUUAAAUAAUAGAUCUGCCAUUAAAUUGUAUUAAUUAUAUAUCAAAAGUAUUUAUGUCCAAAGUUGAUUGGAUUUAGGGCAUAAUACUUAUAGCAACUUCUAUCAAUAAAGUGUGAUGUGACUACCAUAUAAUUGAUGUCCAACAAUCAGUGAUUAAAGAAGUCUUUUGUCCAUCAUUAAUAAAUUUAAUCCUCAAUGAUUUAUUUGUUUCAUGAUAGAGAUGGAGCACAUCUUUAGUAAUCGUUUGAGAGAAG
rnacentral:lncRNA from 1 species